rnacentral:rRNA from 1 species
UACGGGGGGGGGCAAGCGUUGUUCGGAAUUACUGGGCGUAAAGGGCUCGUAGGCGGCCAACUAAGUCGGAUGUGAAAUCCCCAGGCUUAACCUGGGAACUGCAUCCGAUACUGGAUGGCUUGAAUUCGGGAGAGGGAUGCAGAAUUCCAGGUGUAGCGGUGAAAUGCGUAGAUAUCUGGAGGAAUACCAGUGGCGAAGGCGAGUCUCUGGACAUUUCCUGACGCUGAGGCACGAAAGCCAGGGGAGCAAACGGG